rnacentral:rRNA from 1 species
AGCUCCAAUAGCGUAUAUUAAAGUUGUUGCAUUUAAAAAGCUCGUAGUUGGAUUUGUGGUGUGUCCAGUCGGCCUUUGCUCUUUGAGUGAUUGAGCUGUACUGGUCUGCCAUGUUUGGGUGGAAUCUGUGUGGCAUUAAGUUAUCGUGCAGGGGAUACCCAUCAUUUACUGUGAAAAAAUUAGAGUGUUCAAAGCAGGCUUAUGCCUCUGAAUAUAUUAGCAUGGAAUAAUGAUAUAGGACCUUAGUACUAUUUUGUUGGUUUGCGCACUGAGGUAAUGAUUAAGAGGGACAGUUGGGGGUAUUUGUAUUCCAUUGUCAGAGGUGAAAUGCUUGGAUUUUUGGAAGACAAACUACUGCGAAAGCAUUUUCUAAGGAUGUUUUCA